rnacentral:lncRNA from 1 species
GAGUGAUAAGGUCGCCCCUGAGCCUUCUCUUCUCCAGGCUGAACAAUCCCAGCUCCCUCAGCUGCUCUUCAUAAGACUUGUUCUCCAGACCCCUCACCAGCUUCGUUGCCCUUCUCUGGACUCUCUCGAGCACCUCCAUGUCCUUCUUGUAGUGAGGGGCCCAAAACUGAACACAGUACUCGAGGUGCGUCCUGACCAGACCUGAGCACAGGGGGACAAUCACUUCCCUAGCCCUCCUGGCCACACUAUUUCUUAUACAAUGCUGUUGGCCUUCUUGGCCACCUGAGCACACUGCUAGCUCAUAUUCAGCCAACUAUCAACCAAUACUCCCAAGUCCUUCUCAGUGACUUCUUUUCCUUUUUAUUUCCCAGUUUCUGUAAAACUUCCUGAUGCUUUCAUUUCCUUUCCAUUUAUCAAGACAUACUGCAAACAGGUCAAAAGAUGAAAUGCUGCUUAUAACCCAGCCAAUACAGAAAGGGAAGGUGAUGCUACCUUUGAAGUUAGAGCCAUGUUGGAUGACUUAUCUCAAGACUGGUAUUGAUGAGACACUAAGGCAGUGA